GAUGAAGAACGUAGCGAAAUGCGAUAAGUAAUGUGAAUUGCAGAAUUCAGUGAAUCAUCGAAUCUUUGAACGCACAUUGCGCCCCCUGGUAUUCCGGGGGGCAUGCCUGUUCGAGCGUCAUUACAACCCUCAAGCUCUGCUUGGUAUUGGGCCCCGCCAGUUCUGGCGGGCCCUAAAGUCAGUGGCGGUGCCUUCCGGCUCCGAGCGUAGUAAUUCUUCUCGCUCUGGAGACCCGGUUGUGUGCUUGCCAACAACCCCCAAUUUUUUAAGGUUGACCUCGAAUCAGGUAGGGAUACCAGCUGAACUUAAGCAUAUCAAUAAGCGGAGGA
rnacentral:misc_RNA from 1 species